rnacentral:lncRNA from 1 species
UGGUGUAUUCUUUUGCCUUUUUAUGAUAGUCUAUGCGGAUUAGACUAACGUUGCCUAUUACUUUUUUCAUUGGUCUUCGGAAAAACAAUGAAGAAAUAUGUUUGCUUCAUUAUUAGACCCAAAAACGAGUGAAAACAAUCUAGAAAUUUGUUUUCUUCACUAUUUGACACAAUAAAUAAAUAUGAAAUUUAUUUCAAAAAAAAAGAGAGAGAGAAAACCAUAAAUUUAGAGGCAAUGACACCAAAGAUUUAAGCAUCUUGACAUCACACUUCAAUCAUAACUAUUAUCUUAAAUUUUAAAUCACGUGCAGCAUUAAAUUCGUGCAAUUCAGAAAUUUUAUUUUCAUUGUGUUUCAUUAUUCUCUUUGCCCAUCUAGUUGCGUACAUCUUGAAAUUUUUGCACCCAUUUUGGGUGUACAAUUGGAGCUAAAGAAGAAAAUUUAUUGGAACUUUAAAGGUGAAGUCAGGGUGCUCUUUUCAGUAUCACUACUUUUCUUGAAAAGAGAGAAUCUCAAUUACUAUUCAUCUAUGAUUUCUCCUCACAUGUUGCCUGUGUGGACAAAAACAGCAAGCCAUGAUUAUUGACUGAUAACAUCUCAUUUUUUAUUACUCCCAACACUCAAUUAAUAUUGUUUAGGCCUCCACCGUUCAAUCCCAUGCCACCCAUUUCACACUUCAGAUCCUGUUAGGUAUCCAACUCUUCACCGUUCAUACAAAUAUCUACCUUAUAUAUACCUUUUUAGCUUCUCUUACACCUUUUGAAGUCUAUAGCUUAAGGAAAAAAAUGAAGGUGAUUUUCGUUCCACUGUCGAUGAGGAAGAAUGAAGACGAAGAAUUGGGAUCUACUGUGGUCACCGACGAUGUAGAGGAGGAUCUAAAGCUCGCGAUCAAGGACCACAAGGCAUGGUUUCUGCUUCUUUUUUGCCUAUGCUUUUGUGGAUAUCAUGUAGAGAAUACAAAGAAUGUGUUCUCUUCAUCAGAACUAACUAAUCAGUCGACGAAAAAUUAAAAACUUAAAUGGAGUCGACCCUGAAGGUUUGUUUUCAACUCUCAAAUUUCUACUUUUUUAAUUUCUAUCCGUUUGUUUUUCUUUAAGACUUUUAAUGAUUUGAUUAUUUUUCAGUACAUGAAUGUUAGAUUUUUGAAAUUUUUUGCCCCUAAAAAAAAGAAAUUGAGAAAAUUUUAGAUGAUAAAGAUUGCUUAGGUGAUUACAGCCACUGGUAGUGGUAUGUUGUUGUUGUAAGCUUCAAUUUGUUACUGUGUUUUGCAUUAUAAUCUUAAUACAAUUGUUUGUUUGAAGAAAAUAUACUUCUAAUUAACCAUUUUCCUUUAGACGAAGGCAGUUGCGGUCAAGGACAAGAUCUAGCUACCUUCUAUUUGGUCGCGAAAAGCCUGUGCACAAGGUCCUAGGCAGAGAGAAAUAUACGGAUGUAUAUCUCUCUAUUGAUUAAUUUUACACAUCUAUUAGAUAUUUAUGUAGGAUCUUGGUGUUUUGAUUGGCAAAUGACUAAUUGUUUAUGUGUGUUUAUGUUACUGGUGCAAUUGUAGUUGUGUGUGAUUUUGACUAAAGAUCUAUUUAAGGUUGAUCCAACUUAAUUGCUACUGUUUAGUUGCAAUGUGAAAAUAGAAUCGCUGUUCUGGAAUCGUUUAUAGCUUUUUACUGCUGAUAAUUUAUUUAUUUUACCCUUUUUAUUUUGAAUUCUUACCAUACUACUGACACUUGAACCUUUAACAUUCACAAAAAUGCAGUAAGGGGUAGAAAUAAACAAGGGCAUAUAUUCAAAUGCGAAAUUAUGAAUUACACUCUAAUUUUUUGCAUUUUUCGAGGAAUCAAGUAGAGACAUCAACAAUUCUAGAUACUUGUCUAAUUUAAGAUCAGAGUUAUGAGUUUAUUCUCCUUUCCAUGGAUACUUGUACAUCUUUCCACUUGAAUUAUCUUACUGAUUUUUGGCAGCUGCUGAUGUUUUCCUAUGGAGGGAAAAGAAAAUUUGUGCUGGCAUGCUUAUUCUUCGUUACAUCUUUAUUGUCAAGUAGGCUGUGGAUUAAUUAGGUUCUUGGAAGUGGAAUUAUGAUAAUUUAAAGGGAAAUUUUAGAAAAGUUAUCUUCUUCAGAAAUUGUGAAUAAUGUUGCAAUAAUUUCAUUAAUCAAUUGUGGGCAUAUACAUCAAUUAGCGUAAAUCAAAGAAUGAUGAAAUCAUAGUAGUCCAUUGAUGUGAGCACAUGAUCUCUUAUGAUCACUUUCCCUUGUAUAAUAGAAAUUUCUACAAUUGUGGGGAUACACUUUUGUUGGAUUGAACUUUUGUAUUUUUCAUUUUUUAAGUCUGAUAUUUAUAUUCUAUUUUUGCUUUAGCAGUUGUAUUCGAUCUAAGUUUGAAGGUUAAUUCUAUUCACUUCUCACUUCUAAUGCAGGUCCUGUAGCAGAAUAUGCAUUCCAUUGACAAGCAAGGAUUAUGGGACCUUCAACAGUCCUUAUUCUGGAGGUGUAUUUUUUGGUUUCCAUUCAUUUUCCUCUCGAUUACCCUUUUAUAUGCUUGUAUCCUCUACAUUAGUUGUAUAGUAACUUCCCAUCUUCGAGUCAUUUGCUCACUUGUAUUUAGAUCGAACUCUGAUAGUGAAAAGCAGAUAACUGUGCAGGAAGAUUUCUUUCUCUUACUAGGUGUCGAAACCCUUCAUACCUUAUCAGUUUCUAAGCUAAACGAUAUAAACAUAUUAUAAUAUGUAAUGAUUUACCCUAUCCCCAAGUGCAAUUUUGCAGAAUAAGUUUACGAGUUCAUUCUCUUCUUUCUCUGGUUCUUUUUCCUGCUGCGUUUUGCAAAAUGAAUUCCUGAAAUUUCAACUUCUUUUCCCCAGGAAGUUCUUUCAAUAGGUAGAUGUUAAGCACAUAAACUAUAUAUUUGUGUUCAUUGUUGAAACUCUAUGAAUAUCAUUGGUAAUUACUCAAAACAAUACUACAAAUUUUUUUAUUUAAUAUCUUGUUGAAAAGAGUUUGUUUUCCCCUAUCCUUGGAGAGUUUGUGAUUCUUCCAAAUAGUUAUUGUUUCCAUGGAGAUUAUGUUGAUAAACUCAGUGACCCAAAUAGCUGAUUUAUUCUUUGUUUCUGGUUGCUUUUACAACAAAAAGUUUUCCACCCAACAUCAAUAGCAAUGGAAGCAUUUGCCUUGAUAUUCUUAAUGGUACAAUCAUACUACAUGUGCAUCAUUCUAUACAUCUUGGUUUGUAUUCUUCCUCAUGGAACCAUCUUCCUUUGAUUUUCCAGCAAUCUUUCACAUCACUGCCCAUACUGUGCUACAUAGCGGGAAUGUCAUCCAUGGUGCAUGGGAAAAUGUACAACUAGCAUUAUUGAUCUAAGGUAAUUAAUUUUUUUUCGUUAUAAUAAUGAGAUGACAUCAUUUAAUGAAUUGUGGCUAUACACGUUCAAACUUGGACUAAAUUAAUUUUAAUGUAUGGGUUUCCACACUUGAUAUAUCAUACAUUAUUCUCUGUGUUCGCGUUCCCAUUUAUGACUGGUUCCACAGUCUUAUGCAUUGGCUUCAUCAUUAAAAAAUGUAACAGAUUGCAAUGUAUGCUCGGGAUUCAUUUAGUUCUUUUUUGGUCAAUACACUAACUUGGUUCGGAAGACAGGAAAAAUAAAUCAGGGAUUUGGCUUGGGUUUUAGGUGAUUUUAAAAUUGGUAAUCAAAGUAAACUUAUUUUAUUACUUAGUUAUGAGAAAAAUUGUUGGGUUGAAGUCACCAAAGUAAACAACCGAUCCAAUAUGAUGAUUAUAAUUACAACACAUAAAAAAAAAAAAUCUUUUAAUAUGUUGAGGAAUAUCCCUAUCAAUAAUUAUCUAGGAAAUGGCGACAUUCCAUAUAUAGAAAUAAACUCCCGAGUAUGAUCUUCUCUUACUUUUCUUUAAACCAUUUUCCAAGUUGCAUGCACAUGUUGGAUUGCCAUUAUCGUAUACGAUAGAUCUUCACAUUUCAUAUGCCAAUAUUAUCGAGUUUAGAUUCUCAAAAUUUAAACUCUCUCUCCAGAUAUACUAUUAUUACCCUUUGACUGCUCCUUUGGACCUUACUAAGGUUUACAAUAACAUCCAAUGGAAUAGCACAAAGGCCCAACACGUUGACACAAUAAUUCAUAUGAGACGCGACUGGGUAAGUUCCUCAUUUUAAUUCCAUUAUGUCUUCUCAUUUCUUCAUGCACCUUAAAUGCUUCAUCUCUAUUUUUCAAAGAGUAAAAUCAUAUGUAAAUUGACCACAUUAAAUUAAGUUCAUUUUCCUUACCUCAUUGAAUACUAAUUUUACCUUCAAAAUAACUGUGCCCGUGUAGAAUACAUAAAAUUCAUGCAUGUAACACAAACCAACCCUUCCCCCCCCCCCCUUCAAACGCAUAAUUUAAUUCAUUUUUAAAUAUGUAGUGAUAUCUAUUAUUUAACAAGAGCACGUGCCCAUUUAUUUAUAUUAUAAGAUAUAACAUGAAUCACCAAAAUCAUUUCAAAAUAAAUUUAGUACCUUCCAAGAGCGUAAAUCAGAAGUGGGUGGAAAGAAAUUUGUUAUAUAUUUUCUUCGUGUGUUGAAAUAUUCUUGCAAUUACAAGAAACAGGGAAAUCAUUUUUAGUAAAGGAAUGCCUAAGGUUUCUUUCUAAUUUUAGGUCCUUUAUUUAAUGAUAAGAUUGCACUAAUUAAUUAAUUAUCGAAUUCAUUGGAUUCAAAAUUGUGCUAAUUACCAAAUUCAUUACAUUGAAUAUUGGGCUGAUUCCAUUCUUCUUUACUGUCCAAAUAAAAAUUCAAUCAAACGAAAAAUAUAUAAAUGUUAAGAUCAAGCCUAUGUUUAAUUUAUUUAAUAACAAAUUAUAACAUCAUAAGCUUAUUAUAAAAUAUCAUAUUAUGUGUUAUAUGUUCAAUUGAAUUGCAUUAUAAUUAACUUUAAUUGCCACGUCGAUCAUAAGGCGUCCAAGGUACACUCCAUUACAAAACAUGGUUAUUCACAAAGACAAUAAAUUAACAUUUCGCAUCAUACAUAUAUGUAAAUUGAAGAAAAGAAAGUGCGGCGUUACAAAAGGAAUCUCAUCUUUUGGGUAUUAAAAUUUAUUUUAAUUUCACUAUUUAUUUAAUACCAACUCUAAUAUUUUUUUGUAUUCGUUUAGCUUUAUUUUACAUGAAAUUUGUUAGUUUAAGGGAUAUCCUCUUUUACAAUUAUUCUUAUAAUUUGUUUCCAUUGCAAAAAAUAAAAUAAAAUAAAAUAAAAAAGGUGGAAAAAAUAAAACCACCUACCCAAGGAAAAAUGAAUUCCCCAAAAAUAAGGAAUUGGUGCACGUGUGAGUCAAAGGUGGAAAACCAAUUGUCUAGAAAAUUUUUACUAUCAAACAAGCCAAAAGUGAGACAUGAAAUUUGUUUUCCAUUUUCCAUGGAAAAUUUUGCGAUAUCAAACAUGGCCAAAGUGUAUUUUUUAUAAUUAUUUUUUUAUACUUAUAACAAGAAAUUUCAAUAAUUAAUUGUUUGGUAGAUAUUUUGUUAAUUGAUUUUUUGACCGUUAGAGAUAAAGUGAGUCCCACCUGUGAGAAUAAUUCAAAAAU